GAAAGGAGAGCUAAUACCGGAUAUCCCCCACCGAACCGCAUGGGUUUGGUGAGGGAAAUGGAUUCCGCUUCGGGAGGGCUUCGCGGCCUAUCAGCUAGUUGGUGGGUAACGGCCCACCAAGGCAUCGACGGGUAGCUGGUCUGAGAGGACGAUCAGCCACACUGGGACUGAGACACGGCCCAGACUCCUACGGGAGGCAGCAGUGGGGAAUCUUGCGCAAUGGGCGAAAGCCUGACGCAGCAACGCCGCGUGGGGGAUGAAGGCUCUCGGGUUGUAAACCCCUUUCAGCAGGGACGAAUCAAGACGGUACCUGCAGAAGAAGCCCCGGCUAACUACGUG
rnacentral:rRNA from 1 species